GGUAACUGCUCCAGUGGCCUAGUGGUUAGAGUGUCUGCCUCGGAUGUGGGAGGUUGUUGGUUCGAUCCCCACUCGAGUUAUACCA